ACCCGCUGAACUUAAGCAUAUCAAUAAGCGGAGGAAAAGAAACCAACAGGGAUUGCCCUAGUAACGGCGAGUGAAGCGGCAAUAGCUCAAAUUUGAAAUCUGGCUCUUUCAGAGUCCGAGUUGUAAUUUGCAGAGGGCGCUUUGGCGUUGGCAGCGGUCCAAGUUCUUUGGAACAGGACGUCACAGAGGGUGAGAAUCCCGUACGUGGUCGCUAGCCUUCGCCGUGUAAAGCCCCUUCGACGAGUCGAGUUGUUUGGGAAUGCAGCUCUAAAUGGGAGGUAAAUUUCUUCUAAAGCUAAAUACUGGCCAGAGACCGAUAGCGCACAAGUAGAGUGAUCGAAAGAUGAAAAGCACUUUGGAAAGAGAGUCAAAUAGCACGUGAAAUUGUUGAAAGGGAAGCGCUUGCAGCCAGACUUGCCUGUAGUUGCUUAUCUGGACUUUUGUCCAGUGCACUCUUCUGCGGGCAGGCCAGCAUCAGUCUAGGCGGUUGGAUAAAGGUCUCUGUCAUGUACCUCUCUUCGGGGAGGCCUUAUAGGGGAGACGACAUGCAACCAGCCUGGACUGAGGUCCGCGCAUCUGCUAGGAUGCUGGCGUAAUGGCUGU
rnacentral:rRNA from 1 species